rnacentral:snRNA from 1 species
GGAUGUGAGGGUGAUCUGUCACCCCAUUGAUCUGCAGGGUUGAUUCUGCUCAAUUGGCUGGCUAGGCAGGUGUCCCUUUCCUCUCCCACCAUUCCAUAUGAAUCCCUUGGAAGCUGCAUGCUUUGUAAAAGAGGAAAGGCCUUCCCUGAAUAGAGAUAAUACUAGUCUUCUAGUGUU